AAGAGAGGAAGCCUUUCCAUGGCGAUUGCUCCUUUUCCUUCUUCUGUUGUGGGUUUUUGCAAGUGUUAUGUCCUAUAGAAUGGUACAUGCUCAGAGGCUUGUACAGGGACCCACAUGACACAUAGAGCACAGCACAGAAACCAUGGGGAAAGACAGGUCUGGAAGUCUUUGGAAGGGCCACAAAGGACAUCUGGGAAGCAAGGCCUGCCUGUCAGUGGAGGGAGGAGUGGGAGCUGGGAGAAUUUUCCAUAAAGAUGAAGCACACUCAACUUUUCUUUAGCCAUAACGCAUACAGGCUGGCUAUUCACACUGUUGAUCUUUCUGAGCUGAUGGGAAUGAAGAAACCAAGGUGCCUUUCAUUAAUUCUUCCCACUAAAUUAAUGGAGCCACUGCAUCUUGCAGACCAUCAGGAGAGCAGAAGCAAAAGUAUUGGCUGGAAAACUUGUCAGCCAUUGUACUACUAUGCUUCUGAGAUCAACUUUUGUAUUCCACAUACUUCAUCACUGCUAUCCCUCUCAGGAGAGAGCUUCUUUGUACAGAUGAGAACCAAAUCCUCAGCUCAGCGUUAUCCACUUGAUGGUUGGAAGACUCCUUCAGACAAGCGUCCGGCUCUGGAUACUUCAGACACUGUUUUAUUUAUACCGCUCACCUGCUUGCAAGUGCUGACUGCUGAAGGGUUAGAGUUAAAUUGUGAUAGAAAUGUUGUACUGUAUCUUUGCAUAACAAUACUAGGUGAGUUGGUACUUUGGAGGAAGAAGUAUGUCUGGAAGCUAUUCCACACUAGGUCACCCUGCAGUAACUUAGUUAUACGUAUGACAGCGCCUAUGAGCCAUAUAACUAACUAUAUCUUACUACACCUAAACUAAAAAUGAUUCAACUUCCCAUUAACCAGAUUCCAAAAAUGCCUGUAAACUACUCCCAUGCCAUCCUACACAAGGGCAAGCAUGAAACCUUAACCAGUUGUCAGCAAAUAACUUACUUUUACAAAUUGACAAGGCAUACUGCCAAGGCCUUGGAAGAGGUUCAUACAAGUGCAAGGACCUGAAGCUUCAGCUUCAUACUUUCCCCAGAAAUCCACCUCUGGGGGAUAACUCUAAAACACUAAAUUCAGAUAUUUGAGAACAUAAUUUACUGUUAAUAUGUUAACAUUGAAAUUCAACAUAUGACUUUAAAUUGGGCUACUUUUGAUGGAAAAGGAGAAAAAAAUAGACACCUCCUGAAACAGCAACAGUUCAUAGUCUGGAAUGAAGGGAUCUCCUGCCAAGAAGAAAAUUCCAGUUUUUCAGAGGCAAUAACAACCAGAUCUGAUCCCUUAGAAUGAAGACAGAUUUGUGGUUCUUGGAAUGUCAUGGGAAGGGUGAUAUAACCUUGAUGGAUGAGCUUCGGGCUUGGGUCAUAUAGUUUGUAUAUUAAACAGCAAGUGCUUUGUUUGGUAUCCCAGUAUGUGAGGUGAAAUUGUUACUUUCUGUAAUUUAAACAUGUGGCAUUGUUUGUGAAAGAUGAUGAGUAAUAAUGGGUUGAGGCAACAACAGCCAACAAUUAGCAAGAGCCUAAUUGCAGGACUUUGAUGUAAUUAUUUAACCCUCAGAACAAUCCUAUGAAGUGAGAAUCAUCUCUAUUUUAUCAAUUACAAAAAUGGAACUAGAGAAAUAGAUUCCUCAU
rnacentral:lncRNA from 13 species